rnacentral:misc_RNA from 1 species
AAACUCCAGACAGAAGCACAGCUGUAGCACACGCACAGUUUACAUAUUGACGGUCAAGACUUUUCGAACCGAGGUUCUUUGCAAGCACUGACUGUGCACAGGUUUUGACACAUGCGUCGUCCUAGCGGUGCAGCCUGCAUGGACAUGUUUCUCUGCAUGAGUCUUGGUCAUGUGAUCUAUGGUUGGGCUGAUCUGAUGAACUGCCGCACAAGCAGACAGACAUGUACACGUACGUGUACCUGUUGUUCAUCUUCCUGCAAAAAUGUUCCACGGUUUCUCACCGACUGCAUGUUGAUUUGACUGUUCCUAUCGUCCACGACGUCACUUUUUUGGCUAACAUUCUAACCUGUGAUUGUUUCUGUAGCAAUGGGUACCCAUGGGUUGGAAGAGAAAAGAGCUCCUGAACAUGUAAGAUGCUAUAAUCGGCAUCGGCUAGACAUGACAUCAUUGUCCCAAGCGAAGGAUGAGAAGCCCAUCGCUGCAAGCCACGCCCGCCCACCCGUCCAACUGAAGGAUGUCAAGCUCAAGGAUCGCAUCAAUCUCUUUGAAGGCCUGUCCCAGCAGCCGGCAGCCACCUGUGGCAGCAGCUACAACAAGAACAUGUCAGCCAACAACUCGGAACAGGCCCGCUACCCAAAGGUGGUGUCUCCUGAGCACAAGCGCUGGACCCACAUGGAGACAGACCACCCUGGUAACCUGACUCCUCCCUGGAAGCACCUGGGCAACCAGGAGCCCUCACAAAGCCGUGCAGGCCCAGGCUUGAUGUCAUCAACUGCAGCCGAGAGGACCAAGACCAGGGCCAAGACACUGGGGCCUCGAUCGCGCGACAGGCCAAUGGACCACCCACCGCUGCCUGUCAAGCCAUCCCUGACCCCGACCAAGAAUGGCCAGUCGACGUCAGCAGAUGUGGAGAAAAGUAAACUGGCACAGACAAAUAAGCCAACGUUAAAUUCGAAUGCGACACAGCCCCGAGCGGACGUCAUUUACAUCGAUGGCACGCCUGUCCAACUGCGAAACUCUCGUAAGUUCUCUGCCGACAAUGCCCAAGCACGGAGCAUGGUGGGUGCAAUGAUAAAAAACUUUGAGAUGAAAGAAGAUGCAAAGGAAGUCGAGGGGCUGCACCUGAAUAAGAACGGUUCAGCCCUGGAUGUGAUUCCGGUGAACAACAUUCAGAGGAGAAGUGCAGAACUGAAUCGAUUGUCUUGCGAGACAAGAACUAGACCGCAGCCGCAGAUGCAAGACCUGCGGAACCCACAGUACCCAGAAUUCCGUAAACUAGUCCGCAGACGAUCAAAGAGUGCCUCUGAUAUUUACCCGGAAGGGGUUACUUUUCCGGAGAAGCACCAGCCGCCCUCCAAACCUAAGCGAACGUAUGAGCAUGACAUCUACAUGGAGAGCAAGACAGUUCUUGGACAGCGGAAGGGGAAUGCCAAGAAGGAGAAUGGAGUGACGAACCCCUUGUAUGCAGUAGGCGCGGACGAAGACAUCAGCAGGGAAAGCCUCGAGGAGAGCUCUGCACCCGACUUGCACGCUCCUGCAGCCGAGACGCAUGGCAGACGGAAAGAACUCCCACCCCUGCCCAACAUGCCUCCCUACACCCCGCCACUAGGCAGGCCGAAGGGUCAAAGUUUGGAGGUCAGCAAAGGUGUUUUGGUUUCCAAGCCGACAGCAACCUCCAACCGUCUUGGGGUCCCUCCCCUUCCCGGGCGGCCACGCAGCGACACCACCCCCUGUAGUACCUUGGAACGGCAUCCCAAUAACAGCCUACCCCGCUCCUACUCGAGUGAGGACAUCAAUAAACUGUCAUCUGAAUGCGUGCCCCUGAAGCAGCUUAGCCCGUCCGGGAAGCCCCGGCCAAUGGGGACUACGUCCGAGUACGCUGAGCCCAUUCUGUCCCCGGAUCUAAAUUACUGAGGACACCAGGGAAAGUAUCUUCAGUGAAGCCAAAGAGGUGGAUGUUGUAGUGGAUGCGGAAGGCUACUCAGUCCCCGGCAGUCACUUGUGGAAAAAGCCUGAGCCACACGGUGCCCUCAAGAAACCAGCGGGCAUACACGGCAGAGUUCAGUCGUGGAAAACUGGGCUGACGAGGAGCAGAAAGUCCAGUAGCGAGAGGAGGGCGGUUGCCGCCCACACCUACGCCGAGCCUGGCAGUCACGUUGACAAUGACACCACGCCUGAACCGUCAAUCAGACAACGCAGCAAACUU